GGCAGUGUAGCAUAGUGGUAAGGCACAGAGCUUGUAUCCAAAAGGUUCUGGUUCGAUUCCCAGCUAGGGCA